rnacentral:rRNA from 1 species
CCGAGGAGUCCUGGCCGUUCGCGAGUCGUAGGGGCCCCCUCACUAACCCCGGAGGCGUAGCGAAAGCGAGAGAGCGUGUUGGAGGGCACCGGUUUGGAGAGGUGUCUCGGUUCUUCRCGGAUCCGUGCCCGAUCCUGCCGGAGCGACGAGUCUCGUUACUUUCCUUCGUCCGCCCCGCGUUCGUUGUCAUCGCCGUAGUCGUCCGAUUUUCCCUCUCGGGGGAGAUGAAGUUUGUGGCUGCGGCGGACGGGCGUGCGGGUUGUGCACGGAGGCGUCAUCUCCUCCUUCCGCCCACCGGUGAGAUCCCGCGGCUUGAACUAGCAGCACUUUYGUUCGUCGAGUUUAGGCACUGCACGCGGGCGCAUCACCCCCGGGUCGGAUUUUACCGAGUACGACUCGGCCGACUCUGGCGUAGCGAGCGACCAGGGACCCGAAAGAUGGCGAUCCACGCCCGGUCGGGAUGAAGCCAGAGGAAACUCUGGUGGAAGUCCGAAGCGCCUCUGACGUGCAAAUCGAUCGUCGGAACCGGGUGUAGGGGCGAAAGACCAAUCGAGCCGUCUA